UCUGACUAAAUGUUGUUGUCUCCUCCAGGAAGUCUCAGGUCACGGUGGAAUGUCUGACCCCUCUGACUAAAUGUUGUUGUCUCCUCCAGGAAGUCUCAGGUCACGGUGGAAUGUCUGACCCCUCUGACUAAAUGUUGUUGUCUCCUCCAGGAAGUCUCAGGUCACGGUGGAAUGUCUGACCCCUCUGACUAAAUGUUGUUGUCUCCUCCAGGAAGUCUCAGGUCACGGUGGAAUGUCUGACCCCUCUGACUAAAUGUUGUUGUCUCAUCCAGGAAGUCUCAGGUCACGGUGGAAUGUCUGACCCCUCUGACUAAAUGUUGUUGUCUCAUCCAGGAAGUCUCAGGUCACGGUGGAAUGUCUGACCCCUCUGACUAAAUGUUGUUGUCUCCUCCAGGAAGUCUCAGGUCACGGUGGAAUGUCUGACCCCUCUGACUAAAUGUUGUUGUCUCCUCCAGGAAGUCUCAGGUCACGGUGGAAUGUCUGACCCCUCUGACUAAAUGUUGUUGUCUCCUCCAGGAAGUCUCAGGUCACGGUGGAAUGUCUGACCCCUCUGACUAAAUGUUGUUGUCUCAUCCAGGAAGUCUCAGGUCACGGUGGAAUGUCUGACCCCUCUGACUAAAUGUUGUUGUCUCCUCCAGGAAG